rnacentral:rRNA from 1 species
AGUCGUANCAAGGNAGGUGUGUCGGAAGGUGCACCUAGGAGUAUA